rnacentral:rRNA from 1 species
AUUGAACGCUGGCGGCAUGCCUUACACAUGCAAGUCGAACGGCAGCACGGGAGCAAUCCUGGUGGCGAGUGGCGAACGGGUGAGUAAAGUAUCGGAACGUGCCCAGUCGUGGGGGAUAACGUAGCGAAAGUUACGCUAAUACCGCAUACGAUCUACGGAUGAAAGCGGGGGAUCGCAAGACCUCGCGCGAUUGGAGCGGCUGAUAUCAGAUUAGGUAGUUGGUGGGGUAAAGGCUCACCAAGCCGACGAUCUGUAGCUGGUCUGAGAGGACGACCAGCCACACUGGGACUGAGACACGGCCCAGACUCCUACGGGAGGCAGCAGUGGGUAAUUUUGGACAAUGGGCGCAAGCCUGAUCCAGCCAUGCCGCGUGCAGGAUGAAGGCCUUCGGGUUGUAAACUGCUUUUGUACGGAACGAAAAGGUUUGGCCUAAUAAGCUGGACCCAUGACGGUACCGUAAGAAUAAGCACCGGCUAACUACGUGCCAGCCGCCGCGGUAA